rnacentral:lncRNA from 1 species
AUAGAGGGAACAGGUGGAGAGGACUGGAGCAGUGGCUGAGAACACACAUCUUCAACCACAAGUGGGAAGCAGAGAGAAUAUCCCCAAAAUGGAAUUUUGAACAUUUAUCUAAUGCCUUAGUAAUAAAUCCAUUUCCUCCAUGAAAAAGAUGGUCUUUAUUCAUUUAUGCAUGGACAGUGAAGUUCUUCUCUUCUUGAUGCAAAAUAUUGUCAUCUUCGGAUAAUUUUCCAAAUAUAAGUGAACCAGGACACCAGCUGAGAGCCAGUGUCUUCUGUAACUUACAAGCAAGAUACAUCUGUGAAGCCUCAGCAAUAGAGAUGAGUAAGCAUAACCUUGCACAAUAACAGCACCAGUUGACCUGCCACUGUGGAAGGGAGGCUUGGCUCUCUUCCAAAGCACAAGUAAAGAAGUGAGGUCUCUGAGGAAAUACAAGAGGCAAGAGGCAGGUGACAGAUCUGCAAGAAAAUCCCUAGGAAAAAAAAAUAGAACUGACUUUGUAAUCACAACAGCUACAGCCCUGGACCUCUGUGGCAAAUUACUCUAAAUGCAAAAAGGAAACAGGCAAUAAUAGGAAAAGAUAAUGUUCUGAGGCAGACAUUGGACCGAAGACUAGGAAGAAUGACGUCAGAUUCUCUUCCAUGAGAAAAGAAUCGCUGUAAGCAGUAAUGGGGGAGAGAAAAACAGGACACUAAAUAUCCUUAGAGGCAUGGAAUUGUAGAUCAAAUACUGUUGCUAGUGAGACUAUGGCUUUUGGCCUGUGAGCUUCUAUUUUCUCCUUGCAAUAGUACAACAAUAAAACCUAUUUUUAUUGGUCAAGC